rnacentral:pre_miRNA from 1 species
AAAGUACUCCCUCCUUCUGGAAAUACUUGUCAUCAAAACGUAUUUUAGUUUUAGAUACAUCUCUUUUUAUCCAUUUUGAUGACAAGUAUUUUCGGAUGGAGGGAGUAGAAA